rnacentral:rRNA from 1 species
AGAGUUUGAUCAUGGCUCAGAAUGAACGCUGGCGGCGUGCCUAACACAUGCAAGUCGAGCGAGAAAGUCUCUUCGGAGAUAAGUACAGCGGCGGACGGUGAGUAACGCGUGAGAAUUUACCCUUUAGUGAAGAAUACCUCUGAGAAAUCAGGGUUAAUACUGCAUACGUCCCUACGGGGAGAAAGGUGGCCUCUUUGCUGCCGCUAAAGGAUAAGCUUGCGUACUAUUAGCUAGUUGGUGAGGUAAAGGCUCACCAAGGCGAUGAUGGUUAGCCGGCCUGAGAGGGUGUACGGCCACACUGGAACUUAGACACGGUCCAGACUCCUACGGGAGGCAGCAGUGAGGAAUAUUGCGCAAUGGGCGAAAGCCUGACGCAGCGACGCCGCGUGGAGGAUGAAGGUCUUCGGAUUGUAAACUCCUGUUAAGUGGGAAGAAAGACCUAUUUCUAAUACAGAUAGGGGAUGACGGUACCAUUAGAGAAAGCACCGGCUAACUUCGUG